rnacentral:rRNA from 1 species
UUAGAGUUUGAUCCUGGCUCAGGAUGAACGCUAGCUACAGGCUUAACACAUGCAAGUCGAGGGGAAACGAUAGAGAAAGCUUGCUUUUUCUAGGCGUCGACCGGCGCACGGGUGAGUAACGCGUAUCCAACCUGCCCAUCACUUGGGGAUAACCUUGCGAAAGUAAGACUAAUACCCAAUGACGUCCAUAGAAGACAUCUGAAAUGGAUUAAAGAUUUAUCGGUGAUGGAUGGGGAUGCGUCUGAUUAGCUUGUUGGCGGGGUAACGGCCCACCAAGGCGACGAUCAGUAGGGGUUCUGAGAGGAAGGUCCCCCACAUUGGAACUGAGACACGGUCCAAACUCCUACGGGAGGCAGCAGUGAGGAAUAUUGGUCAAUGGACGAGAGUCUGAACCAGCCAAGUAGCGUGCAGGAUGACGGCCCUAUGGGUUGUAAACUGCUUUUAUAAGGGAAUAAAGUGAGAGUCGUGACUCUUUUUGCAUGUACCUUAUGAAUAAGGACCGGCUAAUUCCGUGCCAGCAGCCGCGGUAAUACGGAAGGUCCGGGCGUUAUCCGGAUUUAUUGGGUUUAAAGGGAGCGUAGGCCGGAGAUUAAGCGUGUUGUGAAAUGUAGACGCUCAACGUCUGCACUGCAGCGCGAACUGGUUUCCUUGAGUACGCACAAAGUGGGCGGAAUUCGUGGUGUAGCGGUGAAAUGCUUAGAUAUCACGAAGAACUCCGAUUGCGAAGGCAGCUCACUGGAGCGCAACUGACGCUGAAGCUCGAAAGUGCGGGUAUCGAACAGGAUUAGAUACCCUGGUAGUCCGCACGGUAAACGAUGGAUGCCCGCUGUUGGUCUGAAUAGGUCAGCGGCCAAGCGAAAGCAUUAAGCAUCCCACCUGGGGAGUACGCCGGCAA